GUUGUAUGGUUAAGUGACUAAGUGUACACGGUGGAUGCCUUGGCAGUCAGAGGCGAUGAAGGACGUAUUAACUUGCGAUAAGCCCAGAUUAGGUAGUAAAAACCAUUUGAGUCUGGGAUUUCCGAAUGGGGAAACCCACUAGCAUAAGCUAGUAUCGCUGCGUGAAUACAUAGCGCAGCGAGGCGAACCGGGGGAACUGAAACAUCUAAGUACCCCGAGGAAAAGAAAUCAACCGAGAUUCCGAAAGUAGCGGCGAGCGAAAUUGGACUAGCCCUUAAGCUUUUUAUGCGUCAGGUGAAACUUCUGGAAAGUUGUGCGAUACAGGGUGAUAGCCCCGUAACCGGCAACGCAUAUAAAGUGAAAUCGAGUAGGGCGGGACACGUGAUAUCCUGUCUGAAUAUGGGGGGACCAUCCUCCAAGGCUAAAUACUACUGACUGACCGAUAGUGAACCAGUACCGUGAGGGAAAGGCGAAAAGAACCCCUGUGAGGGGAGUGAAAUAGAACCUGAAACCGUGUACGUACAAGCAGUAGGAGCACCUUCGUGGUGUGACUGCGUACCUUUUGUAUAAUGGGUCAGCGACUUAUAUUCAGUGGCAAGGUUAACCAUCUAGGGGAGCCGUAGGGAAACCGAGUCUUAACUGGGCGUUCAGUCUCUGGAUAUAGACCCGAAACCAGGUGAUCUAGCCAUGGGCAGGUUGAAGGUUGAGUAACAUCAACUGGAGGACCGAACCGACUAAUGUUGAAAAAUUAGCGGAUGACUUGUGGCUAGGGGUGAAAGGCCAAUCAAACCUGGAGAUAGCUGGUUCUCCCCGAAAGCUAUUUAGGUAGCGCCUCGGACGAAUACUACUGGGGGUAGAGCACUGUUAAGGCUAGGGGGUCAUCCCGACUUACCAACCCUUUGCAAACUCCGAAUACCAGUAAGUACUAUCCGGGAGACACACGGCGGGUGCUAACGUCCGUCGUGGAGAGGGAAACAACCCAGACCGCCAGCUAAGGUCCCAAAUUACUACUAAGUGGGAAACGAUGUGGGAAGGCUCAGACAGCCAGGAUGUUGGCUUAGAAGCAGCCAUCAUUUAAAGAAAGCGUAAUAGCUCACUGGUCGAGUCGGCCUGCGCGGAAGAUGUAACGGGGCUAAGUAGUAAACCGAAGCUGCGGCAAUGCACUUUAGUGCAUUGGGUAGGGGAGCGUUCUGUAAGCGGUUGAAGGUGUGUGGUAACGCAUGCUGGACGUAUCAGAAGUGCGAAUGCUGACAUGAGUAACGAUAAAGGGGGUGAAAAACCUCCUCGCCGGAAGACCAAGGGUUCCUGUCCAACGUUAAUCGGGGCAGGGUAAGUCGACCCCUAAGGCGAGGCCGAAAGGCGUAGUCGAUGGGAAACGGGUUAAUAUUCCCGUACUUCUUACAAUUGCGAUGGGGGACGGAGAAGGCUAGGUGGGCCUGGCGACGGUUGUCCAGGUUCAAGUGCGUAGGCUUAAGAGUUAGGUAAAUCCGGCUCUUUUUAAGGCUGAGACACGACGUCGAGCUACUACGGUAGUGAAGUCAUUGAUGCCAUGCUUCCAGGAAAAGCCUCUAAGCUUCAGAUUGUAAGGAAUCGUACCCCAAACCGACACAGGUGGUCGGGUAGAGAAUACCAAGGCGCUUGAGAGAACUCGGGUGAAGGAACUAGGCAAAAUGGUACCGUAACUUCGGGAGAAGGUACGCUCUCGACGGUGAAGUCCCUUGCGGAUGGAGCUAUUGAGAGUCGCAGAUACCAGGUGGCUGCAACUGUUUAUUAAAAACACAGCACUGUGCAAAAUCGUAAGAUGACGUAUACGGUGUGACGCCUGCCCGGUGCCGGAAGGUUAAUUGAUGGGGUUAGACUUCGGUCGAAGCUCUUGAUCGAAGCCCCGGUAAACGGCGGCCGUAACUAUAACGGUCCUAAGGUAGCGAAAUUCCUUGUCGGGUAAGUUCCGACCUGCACGAAUGGCGUAAUGAUGGCCACGCUGUCUCCACCCGAGACUCAGUGAAAUUGAAAUCGCUGUGAAGAUGCAGUGUACCCGCGGCUAGACGGAAAGACCCCGUGAACCUUUACUACAGCUUGGCACUGAACAUUGACCCUACAUGUGUAGGAUAGGUGGGAGGCUUUGAAGCACAGUCGCUAGAUUGUGUGGAGCCGUCCUUGAAAUACCACCCUUGUAGUGUUGAUGUUCUAACGUUGACCCCUAAUCGGGGUUGCGGACAGUGCCUGGUGGGUAGUUUGACUGGGGCGGUCUCCUCCCAAAGCGUAACGGAGGAGCACGAAGGUGGGCUAAUCACGGUUGGACAUCGUGAGGUUAGUGCAAUGGCAUAAGCCCGCUUGACUGCGAGAAUGACGGUUCGAGCAGGUGCGAAAGCAGGUCAUAGUGAUCCGGUGGUUCUGAAUGGAAGGGCCAUCGCUCAACGGAUAAAAGGUACUCCGGGGAUAACAGGCUGAUACCGCCCAAGAGUUCAUAUCGACGGCGGUGUUUGGCACCUCGAUGUCGGCUCAUCACAUCCUGGGGCUGAAGUCGGUCCCAAGGGUAUGGCUGUUCGCCAUUUAAAGUGGUACGCGAGCUGGGUUUAGAACGUCGUGAGACAGUUCGGUCCCUAUCUGCCGUGGGCGUUGGAAGAUUGAAGGGGGCUGCUCCUAGUACGAGAGGACCGGAGUGGACGAACCUCUGGUGUUCGGGUUGUGUCGCCAGACGCAUUGCCCGGUAGCUAAGUUCGGAAUCGAUAACCGCUGAAAGCAUCUAAGCGGGAAGCGAGCCCUGAGAUGAGUCUUCCCUGAUACUUUAAGUAUCCUAAAGGGUUGUUCGAGACUAGAACGUUGAUAGGCAGGGUGUGUAAGCGUUGUGAGGCGUUGAGCUAACCUGUACUAAUUGCCCGUGAGGCUUAACCAUACAACACCCAAGGGGUUU
rnacentral:rRNA from 1 species